rnacentral:rRNA from 1 species
AUGUGUGACAAAUGUGAACGCUGGAAGCAUCAAAUUUGUGCCCUUUUUAAUUUCAAAAGGGGUGAUUCUAAAGAAGCAAAAUGUACUUGCCCUAAAGUGUUGUUCUUGGGGCUAAAGAUCUGCCAAGGGCCGUGCUUCGCAAUCAUAUACAAGAACAACUCUUUAAACCGUUCAGGGAAGAGAGACACUAACAGGCCAUUCAUGAUGGGAAAAGCUUUGAUGAGGUUAGUGUUGCCUCAUCAAAUUCACAGAAUCUUACUUCUUUCCUGA